rnacentral:misc_RNA from 1 species
UGCAUAGCUAUAUAAGGCUUAAAGAUAAGCGAUUCUGACAUGGGAUAUUGCCAUCUCUCUCUCCUCCGAGUUUCUCUCACACCCUUCUUCUCUUUCACCAACUUUUCUCUCAUCACCGGCCGACUUCAUUCCUGCAGGAUUUUCCUUCCGUUCUAUUGAGGACAUUAGUACAUAUUGUAAGGGUUCAAGAAGAAAGAAAGACCGGCACAGGAAAAAAAAAAAAAAAA